GAUGAACGCUGGCGGCGUGCCUAAUACAUGCAAGUCGAGCGAACAGAUGAGGAGCUUGCUCCUCUGACGCUAGCGGCGGACGGGUGAGUAACACGUGGAUAACCUACCUAUAAGACUGGGAUAACUUCGGGAAACCGGAGCUAAUACCGGAUAAUAUAUUGAACCGCAUGGUUCAAUAGUGAAAGACGGUUUUGCUGUCACUUAUAGAUGGAUCCGCGCCGCAUUAGCUAGUUGGUAAGGUAACGGCUUACCAAGGCGACGAUGCGUAGCCGACCUGAGAGGGUGAUCGGCCACACUGGAACUGAGACACGGUCCAGACUCCUACGGGAGGCAGCAGUAGGGAAUCUUCCGCAAUGGGCGAAAGCCUGACGGAGCAACGCCGCGUGAGUGAUGAAGGUCUUCGGAUCGUAAAACUCUGUUAUUAGGGAAGAACAAAUGUGUAAGUAACUAUGCACGUCUUGACGGUACCUAAUCAGAAAGCCACGGCUAACUACGUG
rnacentral:rRNA from 1 species